rnacentral:ncRNA from 8 species
GUAUUCUAUGGGGUGCAAACUUUAAAUGCAACUUAAGUACUAAUUAUUUUAUCAGACCCUUAUGUAAAUCAUGCAUUACUGCUAGCCAACAUGAAUAUUACAUA